AAUGGGUCAGCGACUUAUAUUCUGUAGCAAGGUUAACCGAAUAGGGGAGCCGAAGGGAAACCGAGUCUUAACUGGGCGUUAAGUUGCAGGGUAUAGACCCGAAACCCGGUGAUCUAGCCAUGGGCAGGUUGAAGGUUGGGUAACACUAACUGGAGGACCGAACCGACUAAUGUUGAAAAAUUAGCGGAUGACUUGUGGCUGGGGGUGAAAGGCCAAUCAAACCGGGAGAUAGCUGGUUCUCCCCGAAAGCUAUUUAGGUAGCGCCUCGUGAAUUCAUCUCCGGGGGUA
rnacentral:rRNA from 1 species